ensembl:lncRNA
CGGCUGAGGCCACCCCGACCGGGGAGCCAGCUGCAGGCGAGGCCGGGGAUGCAGGCUUGUCAUAGGCCCUGGUCGCCCCUUGCGCGCGCCAUGCUGUGUGUGUGUGAGAACUCUGUAUGAGGGUUGGGGGUGGGCUCCUGUUGGGCAAGGCAAGGAGGAGGCCUCAAGCCUCAGCCUGCGGACACCCUCACCCUACCCCUCCCUCCCUCCCUCCCUCCCUCCCUCCUCUCCUGCCAUUUCCCUCUCUCUAUCCAUCCCUCCCUCCCUCUUUCUCUGUGUCACUCACUCUAUGUCUCAGGUGGCUGCGUUAAGUCAGCCUGUUGUGUCCAGUCCUCCCGUGUCUCUCAGUAGCGGUGUGUGUCUGUGUCUCUCUCUGUGUGUAAGUGUUGUCAGACCCCGUCCUGACAUGCUGGAGGUGCUCGGAGAGGCAGCGUAGCGAUUAGCGAUUAGCAUUUGUGAGGGUAGCAGGGAAUGCCUGCCUGACAGGCCCUGAAAAUGAAUCCAGUAAAGUACAGAUGAAAUCCAGAUUGCCUUUACAUAAUUCUGCCAUGACUUCUACCGAGUCAUAGUCAUAGUUCUAGUCUUAGUCAUAGUUCCAGUUCUAGUCAUAGUUCUUGUUUUUGUUCUAGUUCUAGCGCCCGAGACAUGGAUCCAGGUCUGUGUUGCUUCAGCUGCUUUGGCUAGGAGCCCCGGCACACAAUGCGCUGUCUCGCGGAGAUGAUGGUUAGGGUCUACCAAAUGCCCUGGGGAACAAAAUGUCUGCCUUCUGCUACCUAGAACAGUUUUUCUCUUGCUGUGGAAGCUGUGGAGGCAGUAUGGUGCUCUGUAGAAGGCACAUCUGAGGGAGAAAAAUGCAAAAAAUCAAGUAUCCAAGUCAAGAACAGCACCCCCUAGUGGCGUAGAGAAGAAACGUGCAGAAAUGUAUUGUUGUCUUUCCUGAUCCCUCAGCUCUGAACUCUGAACCCUUUGCUGGGCCAUGCUGUUCUCCGCUCUCUCAGGAGAUUCGCUGAGCAUUCCGUUUCCAGAAUAAAAAAGCUUAUACUGACACCUAAUGAAGUCAAGGUAUAUGAGGUCAUAUCCUGUGAGGUCAUGUACUGUGCGGUCACGUCCUGUGAGGUCACGUCCCUGUCAGGUAGUUGGUGUGUAGUCGACUCUCACAUUGAGGCUUGUGGAAGUCAGCUCAUUCUCCAUUGGUUUGUGUCCCAGUACUGUUAGUCUGAGCUUAGUCUGAGAUUAGUCAAGGAUUAGUCUAUGGGUUUCUAGGAUAACCCGUAACCUGUUGUAAAAAAUGUUGUGCUCUCUUUCUGCUCCCCUUCUCUUGUCUGUCUCUCUCUCUCUCUCUCUCUCUCUCUCUCUCUGUUCUUCUAUCUGGGUUAGUCAUGAGUGGGGGACAGUGUGUAGUUCUUGUGCGAUGGCCGUAGUGUGACACCCUCAGUGCACCAUCCAGAUAUACAGUGUAGUAGCUCAGUCUUUAGCUGUAGGACGGUUCGUGCAGUUGUAACGUAACUUGAGUUAUGAGUGUGUGUGUGAGUGUGUGUGAGAGAAAGAGAAGGUGUGGAUGGCUGGAUGUGUGCUUGCAUGAUUUGCUGCACUUGCCUCUCAUGGUUGAGUGUUGUUCAUUACUGUUUCUGACCUUUGCUGUGUGUCAGUGUUCACAGAAUUAUCAAACAAAUUAAGACAAAUGGUUAGGAAAGCAGAAAAAAAAAAAAAAAAGAUUUGGUAAAAGAAGGAGGAAUGCUUCACACGUUGACGGAAGAGAAGAGAAGUGACUGAACGAGGAGAAGCGUUCUUCGUCAUGCUGAACAUUAUUCUGUGUUGAAUCGAUUAGGAAAGGCCAACGAGUUAAGUGAUCUGAAGAUGAGGAAGAUGAAGAUAAUGAGUGAGAAUAAGAACUCUGUUUUUGUGUGGAAGCGUGGGUCUACACGUGUGCUUGUGUGCACAGAGUGCAAGGAUAGAUUGACUUGUGUGCUGUAUGUGUAGGGCCAGAGGUGUGUGUGUGUGAGAGGUGUGUGUGUGUGUGUGUGAGAGGUGUGUGUGUGUGUGUGAGAGGUGUGUGUGAGAGAGGUGUGUGUGUGUGAGGUGUCUGUGUGUGAGAGGUGUGUGUGUGUGUGUGUGUGAGAGGUGUGUCUGACUGUCGAGUUCUAGCUGGUUUGUGUAGCUGUAGGAAUGUUUAAACGGAUUAUCAGAAAACGAAACUCCUUUCCAUAACUCCUGUGAAACAUAAGUCAAGGAAUCACAUAGACACACCCCCCCGACACUGUUUAGAAUUCAUCAUAGGCCUCUUUAUACAGCCAGUCAGUAGGAUGGUGAAGUGUCCUCAGCCCUGGUCACGGGGGAACUGUACUUCAUGUCUGUAUCAGUGAUAGGUUCUUCACACGCUUUGUCCAUUCUUUUUCUGUGACCUUCCUUUGGGUGGGAAUGUGUUGUGCGAAGUAUGAUAUGGGGGGGGCCUAUGGCAAAUGUGCAAUGAAACAUGAAAUAAUCAGAUUAUUGUGUAUUAAAGAAUGUGAAGAGUCUAAACUAAAUGUGAAAAGAUAAAUAGAAGUAUAUUCAUAAAUAGACCAUGUCUAUGUAGGUAGAAUGUGAAUAUAUAUAUAUAUACGAGUAUUGUUAAGAUUCAGUGGGAAGAUCUGAAGACAAUCAAUGCCAAGAUAGUUUUUUUUGUUAUAAUAUCUAUUUAUUUAUUUUUUUAUUUCUUGUCAUGCCUGUAACCUGAAUUCUGAUGGAUUCAGUACAUUUCACAGAAGACACACAUUUAAGUUUCACAGAACUUCAUCAAGUGCAUUUGAUUUAUGACAAUUUGUGUUUGUGUUUUUUUAUUUAUCAGAAGUGAUCAUGCCUAUCUAUUGCUUUGCUGUAGGACUGGUAAGGGUUAUUGGUCAGAGGGACUGGUCAGGUGUAUUGAUCACUCAUUGUAGUGGCUGGUUAAUCUUUAACAGAGACAGGUCUUGUCCUUACCACUGCUGUUUAGUGUGUGUCCUCAGUCACACACACACACACACACACACACACACACACACACACACACACACACACACACACACACACACACACACACACACACACUCCUGUCAAGUCGAAAUAAAGCAGAGGUUUAUUCUGGCUC